rnacentral:rRNA from 1 species
GACGAACGCUGGCGGCGUGCUUAACACAUGCAAGUCGAACGGAAAGGCCCUGCUUUUGUGGGGUGCUCGAGUGGCGAACGGGUGAGUAACACGUGAGUAACCUGCCCUUGACUUUGGGAUAACUUCAGGAAACUGGGGCUAAUACCGGAUAGGAGCUCCUGCUGCAUGGUGGUGGUUGGAAAGUUUCGGCGGUUGGGGAUGGACUCGCGGCUUAUCAGCUUGUUGGUGGGGUAGUGGCUUACCAAGGCUUUGACGGGUAGCCGGCCUGAGAGGGUGACCGGCCACAUUGGGACUGGGAUACGGCCCAGACUCCUACGGGAGGCAGCAGUGGGGAAUAUUGCACAAUGGGCGGAAGCCUGAUGCAGCAACGCCGCGUGCGGGAUGACGGCCUUCGGGUUGUAAACCGCUUUCGCCUGUGACGAAGCGUGAGUGACGGUAAUGGGUAAAGAAGCACCGGCUAACUACGUG